CAAAGAAACGGGCUGACAAAUUUCUGGAGGAAGAAGCGAGAGAACCGUCUGGAAGGAAAUCAUAGGGUCAACAAUCUACAGAAACACCUAAGCUGUACAAGAAGAAAAGAAAGAAAGUGAAAGAAACUCGCAAAGCCGUAUCUCAUAAAGGAGGUGUUGAAAGAGAGGAGACGAAAUCUGCAUCUGAUUCGAACGAGUCUGAAGCAUCACG